rnacentral:rRNA from 1 species
GACGAACGCUGGCGGCGUGCUUAACACAUGCAAGUCGAACGGAAAGGCCCUGCUUGCCGGGUACUCGAGUGGCGAACGGGUGAGUAACACGUGGGUGAUCUGCCCUGCACUUCGGGAUAAGCCUGGGAAACUGGGUCUAAUACCGGAUAGGAGCCAUUUUUAGUGUGAUGGUUGGAAAGUUUUUUCGGUGUAGGAUGAGCUCGCGGCCUAUCAGCUUGUUGGUGGGGUAAUGGCCUACCAAGGCGGCGACGGGUAGCCGGCCUGAGAGGGUGGACGGCCACAGUGGGACUGAGAUACGGCCCAGACUCCUACGGGAGGCAGCAGUGGGGAAUAUUGCACAAUGGGCGCAAGCCUGAUGCAGCGACGCCGCGUGGGGGAUGACGGCCUUCGGGUUGUAAACGCCUUUCGCUAGGGACGAAGCUUUUUGUGACGGUACCUAGAUAAGAAGCACCGGCUAACUACGUG